rnacentral:lncRNA from 1 species
GAAGCAGUUGAGUGCUGCAGCGGCAGUCGUCGCCCCUGCCGCCGCUGCCACCGAAGGAAGCAUCCCAGACACCGGGAAGAUGGAAGAUGGUACCCCAAAGCAUAUCAUCCAGAUGACAGGAUUUAAGAUGGAAGAAAAAGAAGCGCUAGUCAAAUUACUUUUAAAACUAGAUUGCACUUUUAUUAAGAGUGAGAAAUACAAAAAUUGUACACAUCUUAUAGCUGAACGCCUAUGUAAGAGUGAAAAAUUUUUAGCAGCUUGUGCGGCAGGAAAGUGGAUACUAACCAAGGACUAUAUAAUUCAUAGUGCCAAAAGUGGCAGAUGGCUUGAUGAAACAACUUAUGAAUGGGGAUAUAAAAUUGAAAAAGAUUCCCGUUAUUCACCUCAAAUGCAAUCUGCACCUAAAAGAUGGCGUGAAGAACUGAAACGCACUGGUGCUCCAGGAGCCUUCCACAGAUGGAAAGUUGUCCUCCUUGUUAGAACUGAUAAGCGAAGUGAUUCUCUUAUAAGAGUUUUGGAGGCUGGAAAGGCAAAUGUUAUUUUACCAAAAAGUUCACCAAGUGGAAUAACUCAUGUGAUUGCCAGUAAUGCAAGAAUUAAAGCUGAGAAAGAAAAAGAUAACUUUAAGGCUCCAUUUUAUCCAAUUCAGUAUCUAGGGGAUUUUCUUUUAGAGAAAGAAAUUCAGAAUGAUGAAGAUUCCCAAACCAAUUCUGUUUGGACUGAACAUAGCAAUGAAGAAACAAACAAAGAUUUCAGGAAAGAUGCAGGAUUUCUUGAAAUGAAAGGUGCCUUAAGAGAGACCAUGUAUAGAACCCAGAAAGAAAUGCAAAAUCAUGAAGAUGUUAAUGUUGGUUCUAUUUUGAUUCAACAUCACAAAAAAGAAAAAUUCAGUGGUUCCAGUAAAGAUUUGAAAUUUGUUAAAAUGAGAAAUACCUUUGGAAGCCAUACAUAUGAAAAUCAGAAGGAAAUUAAGAAAAAAGAUGAAGAUAUUCAGAGGAGUUAUACUUUGAGGAGAAAA